GCAUCCACAUCUCUCUUGAUUUUCAUGUAACCAUUUUCUCCCCAAGUUUGUCCCCAUGAGUUCUUCAGUAACCAAUACUUAUUCCCUUCUUCACUGAUCCCGUAACCAACUACUGUAACCGCAUGAGUCAGUUGUGUCCCACAGUCUCCGUCAAAUAUGCCACUCCGAUAUUGCUUAAACGCAGGCUCGUGGCCAUUUAUCGCCACUGAAACAGGCUGUUUAGAUACUGCCUUUAGCAAUGAUUGCUCGUCAUUACUUGGAACCGUCUCGUAUCCACUGAUGGUAGCAGCAACGGAAUAGGUUGAUGAACAUGUUUGUUGUGACUCCUGGUAAGGAUAGUUAUCUUCUGUUGUAAUUCCUUGGUUUUCGAUUAUGUACUCGAAAGCCUUGGACAUUAUCCCUCCCGCACAUCCUUGGUUGUAGUCUCUGCUGCAAUCCAACAACUGCUGCUCCGAUAGCGAUAGGAGCUCUCCUUUCGCAAUCUGUGUUAUGCCUUCUACGGCUGCCACCGCCGAGAAAGCCCAGCAGACUCCUGUUUCAUUUUUUAUAAAUUAUAUAUAUAUAUAUAUAUAUACUUUUUAAAUGUGAUGUAAACCGAAUUAUAUAAUCAUAAAUAGGUUGUCUGCUAUAUUUUGUGUCUAUUAAUUACAACAAUGGUUUAGUUUAAAGUAGUAUAGCUAUUACUGACAAAAAAAGAUUACCACAGUGGCCUUGGUUCUUAACGGAUGUAACCGCCCCCUCCUGUCUCCAAUCCAUGCUCUCGCCAGUGUCAUUGACAUUUUCAUGUCUAAACGACACCUUUUUGUCCGAACCUGACGAUGAAAUUCUUAGCAUAUCUUCGGGAACCACCAGCCCCAUGUACCUCGCCCGAAAUUCCUCGUCCGUGAGGUCAGAGAACUGACUGACAUCCAACGUAUUCAUCGGAGUAAACACGAUGGAAACGAGCCAUCCAUUGCUCAUGUUUCUCCGCGACAGCAGAAGCUUCAAAGAGUCCCCCACGAGAAGUGACUCCUGAAGUUCUAGAACUCAAUAUAAUGGCUAGAAGCAAUAAAGUGAUCGAAGCCAUUCUUUUAGAGAGAAAUGUAUAAAAUGUUUUCAAAAUAUAAAUGGUUGGGUUUCAAGGAAACGAGUAAGAAGGUGACGUUAUAUAGAUAUUGCAAACUGUAAGGUCGCAUGUCUUUUCUUGAAUAUUCUAACGAUAUUUUGUUAGGUAA